UACAGAGGUCCCGAGCGUUGUUCGGAUUCACUGGGCGUAAAGGGUGCGUAGGCGGUCGGGUAAGUCUGAUGUGAAAUCUCACAGCUUAACUGUGAAACUGCAUUGGAUACUAUUCGGCUUGAGAGUUGGAGGGGGGACUGGAAUUCUCGGUGUAGCAGUGAAAUGCGUAGAUAUCUGGAAGAACACCAAAGGCGAAGGCAGCAUUCUGGCUCGUACCUGACGCUCAUGUGCGAAAGCUAGGGGAGCGAACGGG
rnacentral:rRNA from 1 species